rnacentral:lncRNA from 1 species
CUGAAGGAUCACUGUACCUCCUUGUAAAGUACCAUAUUUCCCAGUCUGAGUCUCCAUAAAGCAGAGGCAGUAACUAAAGAACAGAAAUUUUGCAUGGUAAAGAUGGUGCUUAUCAAGUUCCAUGUUUUGAACAAUUCUUGUACUUGUCCCCUGGUCAGCAGAGCCAUGGAAGAUUUGUCAUCCACUUUUCUUCAGAUGGGACGUGAUACAGAGAGGUGAAAAGUGUUCCACAGACACUCUGUCAGGGCAAGUGCUUGGGAUCACCAGUGCAAAAGGCCUAGAGCUUGCCAUUGCAUUAAGAAACUGUCUUGGGGGCACAGAUCUUCCAUUGGUAAAUUGUCAGCACUCCAGUGAAGCCAGUGAGGCCGAGGACCUGCCUGGCUCUGCAAUCAAGCCAUCAAGUAAGUAUUUCCUGUUGGGGAUAAUCUAUUUGGUAAAUAUGGAGGGUUUCAUCUUACCAGAAAUAUUUUCGUCCUUCCCCUUUGAAUUUUUGUACUGAAUACUAUCUGGUCAAUCAAUAAAUAAACUGAUCAGCUGCCCA